UGGCACAUUCCGUCUCGUUGCGAUCGUGUGUUUUUCAUUAUUUUACUGUGAAUAAAUUGUUAUUGUGCAUGUAGUGUUUCGUAAAUUUUCCAUAUUUUAUGGGAUUAAGAUAUGUGGAAAUGGUUUUUAUGGAAAAUAUUCGAUAAAUAGUGGGAUAAAUUGGCGAAUUAGUGUUCCGGCCGGCAGGGUGCAAUGUGACAUUUUCGCCAUUGUGAUGUGGGGGAAGUGAGGGGGUAUUGUCAAAAAGGCAGAAAGUCGACAAACAUUUUUCGGUCACUAUACUUUAUUAUGGUGUGUGAUUUGAAAUAUUUACUUUUACUUCGAUGGACUUUUGAUGAAUCAAGUGGCCUAAGAAUUAUUUAAGACGAUACUAAUUGGACUUCCGUUUUGCAUUUUCUCUCCUUGGAACUGAAGAGCAGGAAGCUUGUUCGAUGCCUCCCAUAGCGAACGAUUUGAAAGACAAGAAGAGAAAAUUAUUUUGUGAUCUACGAA